rnacentral:lncRNA from 1 species
UAUAGGGAGGCGCUAGUGAUAGGAAAAUAAGAGAAAGAGAAAGUCGAAACUAGGGCAAACUCCCGGAAUAGGAAGUUUCCUUAAUGAUCGGGAGCAGUCAAAUGCUUGAUCUCUUCGGGAGCAACCCUUGGGUUGUUCUAAAUGACUGUUCAACGUUGAAUCCUUCAAAACGGCAUCUGACUUCCUGAAUCUCUCUUCUUUACUCUUUCACAUGCUUCCAACCUGGAAUGAUGAAAAUUAAGCACGAAUUAGGAGUGAGAAUGAGCUCAAAGUGCACAUAUCAAUACUAUUAAAAGGGAAUGAGUUUAAAUAAAUCUACUUAAAAAGUUGUUUGGACCUUUUUUUUUUUUUUUUUGGUCUUCCUUAUAUAUUAUAUGUUAUCCCUAUUUAAUCUCACUUUGUUAUCAGCAAAAUAAAUAUUAUUAAUUGGACUUUGGGCUUUUAACUUAAAAAGAAUAAUUUAACUGAUACAACCCAUUCAGAAAAG